GCGGACGGGUGAGUAAUGUCUGGGAAACUGCCUGAUGGAGGGGGAUAACUACUGGAAACGGUGGCUAAUACCGCAUAACGUCGCAAGACCAAAGAGGGGGACCUUCGGGCCUCUUGCCAUCAGAUGUGCCCAGAUGGGAUUAGCUUGUUGGUGAGGUAACGGCUCACCAAGGCGACGAUCCCUAGCUGGUCUGAGAGGAUGACCAGCCACACUGGAACUGAGACACGGUCCAGACUCCUACGGGAGGCAGCAGUGGGGAAUAUUGCACAAUGGGCGCAAGCCUGAUGCAGCCAUGCCGCGUGUAUGAAGAAGGCCUUCGGGUUGUAAAGUACUUUCAGCGGGGAGGAAGGUGUUGUGGUUAAUAACCGCAGCAAUUGACGUUACCCGCAGAAGAAGCACCGGCUAACUCCGUGCCAGCAGCCGCGGUAAUACGGAGGGUGCAGGCGUUAAUCGGAAUUACUGGGCGUAAAGCGCACGCAGGCGGUCUGUCAAGUCGGAUGUGAAAUCCCCGGGCUCAACCUGGGAACUGCAUUCGAAACUGGCAGGCUUGAGUCUUGUAGAGGGGGGUAGAAUUCCAGGUGUAGCGGUGAAAUGCGUAGAGAUCUGGAGGAAUACCGGUGGCGAAGGCGGCCCCCUGGACAAAGACUGACGCUCAGGUGCGAAAGCGUGGGGAGCAAACAGGAUUAGAUACCCUGGUAGUCCACGCCGUAAACGAUGUCUACUUGGAGGUUGUGCCCUUGAGGCGUGGCUUCCGGAGCUAACGCGUUAAGUAGACCGCCUGGGGAGUACGGCCGCAAGGUUAAAACUCAAAUGAAUUGACGGGGGCCCGCACAAGCGGUGGAGCAUGUGGUUUAAUUCGAUGCAACGCGAAGAACCUUACCUGGUCUUGACAUCCACAGAACUUUCCAGAGAUGGAUUGGUGCCUUCGGGAACUGUGAGACAGGUGCUGCAUGGCUGUCGUCAGCUCGUGUUGUGAAAUGUUGGGUUAAGUCCCGCAACGAGCGCAACCCUUAUCCUUUGUUGCCAGCGGUCCGGCCGGGAACUCAAAGGAGACUGCCAGUGAUAAACUGGAGGAAGGUGGGGAUG
rnacentral:rRNA from 1 species